rnacentral:misc_RNA from 1 species
GAUGAAGAACGCAGCGAAAUGCGAUAAGUAAUGCGAAUUGCAGAAUUUCCGUGAGUCAUCGAAUCUUUGAACGCACAUUGCGCCCGCUGGUAUUCCGGCGGGCAUGCCUGUUCGAGCGUCAUUUCAACCCUCAAGCCCCCGGGUUUGGUGUUGGGGAUCGGCUCUGCCCUCUGGGCGGUGCCGCCCCCGAAAUACAUUGGCGGUCUCGCUGCAGCCUCCAUUGCGUAGUAGCUAACACCUCGCAACUGGAACGCGGCGCGGCCAUGCCGUAAAACCCCAACUUCUGAAUGUUGACCUCGGAUCAGGUAGGAAUACCCGCUGAACUUAAGCAUAUCAAUAAGCGGAGGA